rnacentral:lncRNA from 1 species
GCUAACCAAGGUUCUUGUGAUGUCUUUUAUCUAACUAAGCUAAUUAUGUCAUUUUGGAGCUAAGUUAGAAAAUUAUGUCAUUUGGAUGAUAAUUAGCUAAGUAUGUCUUUCUUGGGGAAAAUAAUCUAAGGAGAAGAAGAAAGAGGAGAAGAAAGAGGAGGACAAGGCGAAGAAGAAGGAGGAGGAGGAGGAGGAGGAGGAGGAGGAGGAGAAGAAGAAGGAGGAGGAGG